UCGAGAAUUUUGGGCAAUGGGCGAAAGCCUGACCCAGCAACGCCGCGUGAAGGAUGAAGUAUUUCGGUAUGUAAACUUCGAAAGAAUAGGAAGAAUAAAUGACGGUACUAUUUAUAAGGUCCGGCUAACUACGUGCCAGCAGCCGCGGUAAUACGUAGGGACCAAGCGUUGUUCGGAUUUACUGGGCGUAAAGGGCGCGUAGGCGGCAAUUCAAGUCAUCUGUGAAAUCUCCGGGCUUAACUCGGAACGGUCAGAUGAUACUGCUUUGCUAGAGUGCAGAAGGGGCAAUCGGAAUUCUUGGUGUAGCGGUGAAAUGCGUAGAUAUCAAGAGGAACACCUGAGGUGAAGACGGGUUGCUGGGCUGACACUGACGCUGAGGCGCGAAAGCCAGGGGAGCAAACGGGAUUAGAUACCCAUGUAGUCCCUGAGCGGGCUGGCAAGGCGCAU
rnacentral:rRNA from 1 species